UACAAUGUUGCCACAAAUGGUGAAAAUACAAAUAUUUUCCUUGGCCUGGAGGUAGACUACUCUGGUGCCACCCAUUAUUUUAACCGGAUUAAUUGGUGAGGUAAAAAGAUCUGUAAGGGGUGGUAUUAUCACAUGCGUUGUAUCUUGAUGGCACACAAUCACCAUCUACUCAAUAUUUUAAUUGUGUCAAAGGUCAAUUUAUUGAGUUUGGUCUAGCUACAUGUGAUAAUACUGUCACACUUAAAAACAAAUUUUAAACAAAACAAAAAUACUGUCCUCACAAAAUGUCAUUUAGAGUUUGUAAAUAAAAAUAUAUAGUUUAAUAAAACAAAUUAUGACCUCUAUCAUGAAUCCAAAACAAAUGUUUAUUUGCUUUAUUUAUUGACAGUCAUUUAAUAACAAACAGUGUGCCACAGAUACCUUGAAAAAUUAAUUAGUUCAUUUACUGAUUACUUGAUUUCAAAAGUAAUGAAGUUAGAAAAAAUAAUGUUUUAGUUACUUUAGCAGCUGUCAACUGACAGGAAUAACUUUUAUACACAGUACAAAAAAAUUUGCCAUAUUCUUGGUAAUGUACGGCACACAAGUGACAGAAUGGUGUCAGUAACCUGAAUUAUUUGUGUGUACUUGAAGCCUCACUAAAUGGGCAACUUUGAACAGACUUGUCAAGCGAAAUAGCUACCUAAAUGUAAACAAGCACACCAUUCACAGUACACUUCUUUAAAGACUCUUGACUGAUUGACUACCUACCGACCUACCUACCACCUACAGUCACCAGUGUGCAGUUUUCAUGUUCUCCCCAUACCCAUGCACGUCCAAGUACUCCGAUUUCCUCCCACAGCCACGAAAAAAUAUGCAUGGUAGGUUGACGUUUCUAAAACUGUCUCCUGCCCAUUGAAAGCUGGGAUUGGCUCCAGCACUCCCCACGACCUUUGUGAGGAUAAGCAGCUAAAAAAUAGAUGGAUGGAUAGUAUUUUCUGUACCUGUAAAUUAUUUCCAUGGAAAAAAGGUUCAAAUAAGUAGUUACAACAAUGAACAAAAACAACACCAUUGUCUUUGUAAAAGCAGAAUAUUAUAUACACCUCUAUUGAAUUGUAUUGUGCAAGUGGUUUGAAGGUUGUGGCUGGUCAGUGUGAGUAACAGGCGUCAUCUAGUGGCUAUUGAAGUAAUUGGAAGACAUUGGGGAAGAAUUAUUAUUUUUUUUUGCGAAGGAGGGAUCCAAGUUAGAUUUUUAUGCUGAUUAAACCUACAAAUGGCAUGCAGAUUCCAAAAUUGCAGUCAUUCCCCCCCAGAAUGUUAAAGUAUUUUUUUCUCCCAUAGUUUACGUUCCAGAUAAGGAAGAUUGCACUGAUUAGCUGUAGUGAAGAUGUUGAGGUUCUCGCUCGGAGUGACCAGGUUGGAUAGGAUUAGAAAUGAGCUCAUUCGAGGGACAGCCAAAGCUGGAUGUUUUGGAGACAAGAUUCGAGAGAGCAGACUUCGAUGGUUUGGACAUGUUCAGAGGCGAGAGAGUGAGUAUAUUGGUAGAAGGAUGCUGAGGAUGGAGCUCCCAGGCAAAAGAGCGAGAGGAAGACCAAAGAGAAGGUUUAUGGAUGUGGUGAGGGAAGACAUGAGGGCAGUUGGGGUUAGAGAGGAAGAUGCAGGAGAUAGGCUAAGAUGGCAAAAGAUGACACGCUGUGGCGACCCCUAACGGGACAAGCCGAAAGGAAAAGAAGAAGAAGAAGAAGAAGCACUGAUUAGCUGUAGUAAGAGUUGCCAGCUGAUUACAAUUAGACUCAUCCACAGCUACGUGGCAACUUGUUUAUUCAGUCACAAUUGGGACAGCGGAAUGAGAAUUCUGUGCAGCUCCUCAUCAGUCUGUGCUAUGAGAAUCUUUAACAGAAAGAUAACAAAGUAGGAAUUGAGAGGAUUUGUGCUGAUCUUGUAACCACGGGCAUGCUGCUGUAAUUUCUAUCACCGUUUAUGCUGGGCUUUUUCCCCAUCUAAGUGUUUUAUUUACAUGAGUAUAUAUUUCCUUUAAGUGGUACGGUGGGACUACUGGUUAGAGCGUUGGCCUCACAGUUGUGAGGACUGGGGUUCAAAUCCUGGCCCCGCCUCUGUGGAUAAUGUAUGUUCUCCCUGUGCCUACGUGGGUUUUCUCUGAGCACUCUGGUUUCCUCCCACAUCUCAAAAUUAUGCAUUCAUUGAAGACUCUAAAUUGGCCCCAGGUCUGAUGGUGACAGCGACUAUUGUCUAUCUCCAUGCCCCCUGCAAUGGAUAUGUUUCCAAUUACGUCACCACCACCCUUAGACCAAUGGGAUAAAUUAAUGAUGGAAAAAAACCUCAUGCUUCACCCAUCACCUGUAUUCUCUGACCUCUAUGACACACAAGAUGGCAUAAAUGGAAACCUAUCCAUUGGCUGGCAACCAGUUAAGGGUAUAAUGCCAGUUGACAGCUGAAAAAGUCUCCAGCACUCCCGUCUCCCUCGGGAUGAUAAGCAGCUCAGAAAAUUGAUGGAUGGAUAUAUCUGACAACUUCAUUUUGGGAAUAAAAAAAAUCAUCUGAAAACCUCAUUGUGGCGAAGCUUACAUCCUGAAUGAGUCUUUUAAUAUAUAAGCAUUGUAACCCCAUAAAACCACUGUUUCCGUCUCAAGGCUCCUAUAAUAACACAUAUUUGGAUGGAAAGGUGUUAUGUCCCUAACGGCCUCAUGCUACUGGACGUGUGUAACUGCAUUAUAAAAUAUUCAAAUGGAUUAGAAACAAUUUGUUUUAUGUAUCAUGUGAAGAUACAGAGUUUACAUAAUAGUCUCAUUUUUUAGCUCGACAUUCUCAGCGAACAGGAUAAAAACAUGUGACUGUAUGCGCAGGCGUUUACAUAAUGGGCACUCCAAAUGUUCUAAAAGCCAGAAGAUUGCAUCCUUGCACAACUGAGAGUUGUGAGAACUGUAAGAACUGUGAGUUCUUAUCAGAAAAAAAUUUCCUGUCAAUUGACUGUCUUUUGUUUCUUUGUUCUUGUUAUUUUGUUCUGUUCUUUGUAGUCAACAUGUAUGUUGUAAUACGGUACCACCAACUGGGUAAGUUUCUUUUGGCUUGUCCCUUUCAGGGUCGCAACAGCGCAUAUAUAUGUUUGGCACAAUUUAUUUAUUUAAAGAAAAGGCACAACACUUCUCAGGGAGUGGAGCCCCCAGUGGGAUACGAACACACAACCCAUGGUUUACCAAACCAGUGCUCUAACCACUGAGCUAUGAGGCCUCACAGUGCCACUGACUAUUGGUGACAAAUUCCUUGUGUGUUUUUCCAUACUUGGCCAAUAAAGUUUAUUCUGAGGAUAGAAUACUGAGUGUAAAUUUUAGUUUCAGAAACCAAGUAUUAUUUUUUUUUUAACUCCACAAGCAGUCAAGUUUGUGUGUGUCUUUGUGUAUGCUAUGAAUUGAUGCACAUGUUAGUAUCAUUUGCCUCUAUGUGUAAUAUUUACAACUGACCACCAAAGUAACAGGUCCUCUCAGAGUCUUCAAAAACUGAGAUUGUGACACAUGGGAACAUACCUCACCGAUGGACACACGCAGACCAGGGGUACCCACUACAACUCGUCUGACCUUGGAAGAGAUGAAACCUUGACUUCAUCUUAUUUCAGCAGAUAUGACACAGAUGUUGCAGGAAGCAUCUUCUGCACAAGAGGUUGACAUCGAACCAGAAGAUGCUGAAUCUCCAUCUUUGGUCCAUUCCAAAAGUUGCCAGACUGAAGUGACUAUUCAUGACGGAAUACAUCUUUCCGACAAC